CACAGGGUCUGACAGGAACUCUGCCACUCGCCACACUGAAGCCCCCACUGGACCCCAGGGAAAGAUCCACACUAGCCCUCCAGGUAGGGAGGUUGGGUGGACAUUUAAUAUUAAUUUGUGUGUGUGUCUGUAAGUGUAUGUGUGUGUCUGAAUGUGUAUGUGUGUGUCUGUGAGUGUAUGCGUGUGUCUCUCUACAUGAAUCUGUAUGUAUGGGUUUCUGUGUGUGUGUGUGUGUGUGUGUG